rnacentral:rRNA from 1 species
GUGGGGAAUUUUGGACAAUGGGCGAAAGCCUGAUCCAGCAAUGCCGCGUGUGUGAAGAAGGUCUUCGGAUUGUAAAGCACUUUAAGUUGGGAGGAAGGGCAGUAAGUUAAUACCUUGCUGUUUUGACGUUACCGACAGAAUAAGCACCGGCUAACUUCGUGCCAGCAGCCGCGGUAAUACGAAGGGUGCAAGCGUUAAUCGGAAUUACUGGGCGUAAAGCGCGCGUAGGUGGUUUUGUAAGUUGGAGGUGAAAUCCCCGGGCUCAACCUGGGAACUGCCUCCAAAACUGCAUGACUAGAGUACGGUAGAGGGUAGUGGGAUUUCCUGUGUAGCGGUGAAAUGCGUAGAUAUAGGAAGGAACACCAGUGGCGAAGGCGACUACCUGGACUGAUACUGACACUGAGGUGCGAAAGCGUGGGGAGCAAACAGGAUUAGAUACCCGUGUAGUCC